GAUGAACGCUGGCGGCGUGCCUAAUACAUGCAAGUAGAACGCUGAAGGAGGAGCUUGCUCUUCUGGAUGAGUUGCGAACGGGUGAGUAACGCGUAGGUAACCUGCCUGGUAGCGGGGGAUAACUAUUGGAAACGAUAGCUAAUACCGCAUGACAACAGUUAUUGCAUGAUAACUGUUUAAAAGGGGCAACUGCUCCACUACCAGAUGGACCUGCGUUGUAUUAGCUAGUUGGUGAGGUAACGGCUCACCAAGGCGACGAUACAUAGCCGACCUGAGAGGGUGAGCGGCCACACUGGGAAUGAGACACGGCCCAGACUCCUACGGGAGGCAGCAGUAGGGAAUCUUCGGCAAUGGACGGAAGUCUGACCGAGCAACGCCGCGUGAGUGAAGAAGGUGUUCGGAUCGUAAAGCUCUGUUGUAAGAGAAGAACGAGUGUGAGAGUGGAAAGUUCACUCUGUGACGGUAUCUGACCAGAAAGGGACGGCUAACUACGUG
rnacentral:rRNA from 1 species